rnacentral:rRNA from 1 species
AUGAACGCUGGCGGCGUGCCUAAUACAUGCCAGUCGAGCGAACAGAUCAGGAGCUUGCUCCUUUGACGUUAGCGGCGGACGGGUGAGUAACACGUGGAUAACCUACCUAUAAGACUGGGAUAACUUCGGGAAACCGGAGCUAAUACCGGAUAACAUAUUGAACCGCAUGGUUCAAUAGUGAAAGGCGGCUUUGCUGUCACUUAUAGAUGGAUCCGCGCCGUAUUAGCUAGUUGGUAAGGUAACGGCUUACCAAGGCAACGAUACGUAGCCGACCUGAGAGGGUGAUCGGCCACACUGGAACUGAGACACGGUCCAGACUCCUACGGGAGGCAGCAGUAGGGAAUCUUCCGCAAUGGGCGAAAGCCUGACGGAGCAACGCCGCGUGAGUGAUGAAGGUCUUCGGAUCGUAAAACUCUGUUAUCAGGGAAGAACAAAUGUGUAAGUAACUGUGCACAUCUUGACGGUACCUGAUCAGAAAGCCACGGCUAACUACGUG